rnacentral:tRNA from 1 species
GCCGGGGUGAGGUAGGGGUUAUCCCUUGGGACUGUGGAUCCCAAGACCCGAGUUCAAGUCUCGGCCCCGGCC